GAAACCAGUAGAUAACAUAACGAGGGUGAGGCUGAGAAUUAGGGCUCUCAUGGCCGUCUCUCUUAUCUGUUUCUCCAUCUCAUAAAUACAUAUAUGGUUAGUUUUCGUUUCCUGCCCCUCUUCUCGUAUUGGUUCGAAGGCGUGGUGAAGAGCGCGACGACCCGACACAUACGGAAGACAUGAUCACCACGGCAGCCGCUUCCUCUUCGUCUGCGAUGGCGAUUGCGGUGCCCCACCGCGGACGCCUGCGGAGGCUCUCUCUCUCCCCGCCGCCCGACAGUAUCGGCGUCAGGAGGAAGCUUCAAACUGUGGUCAAGGCAUCAGCACGAGUUGAAAGAUACUCAAAGAGCGACAUAAUUGUCUCACCGUCUAUUCUCUCUGCUAAUUUUGCAAAGCUGGGUGAGCAGGUUAAAGCUGUUGAAGUGGCCGGAUGUGAUUGGAUUCAUGUUGAUGUGAUGGAUGGACGCUUUGUGCCAAAUAUCACCAUAGGACCUCUUGUUGUUGAUGCCUUGCGCCCAGUGACUAAUCUCCCAUUGGAUGUGCAUUUGAUGAUUGUGGAACCUGAGCAGCGAGUUCCAGACUUUAUCAAGGCAGGUGCUGACAUUGUCAGUGUUCAUUGCGAACAAUCAUCUACUAUUCAUUUGCAUCGGACAGUUAAUCAGGUUAAGGGUCUUGGAGCAAAAGCUGGCGUUGUUUUAAACCCUGCAACCCCAUUAAGUGCCAUAGAGUAUGUGCUAGAUGUGGUUGAUCUGGUCUUGAUCAUGUCAGUUAAUCCUGGCUUUGGUGGGCAGAGUUUUAUUGAAAGUCAGGUGAAGAAAAUUUCAGAAUUGAGGAGGUUAUGUGCUGAAAAGGGUGUAAAUCCAUGGAUUGAAGUAGAUGGUGGAGUUGGUCCUUCAAACGCAUAUAAGGUUAUCGAAGCUGGUGCCAAUGCCAUAGUUGCAGGUUCUGCAGUAUUUGGUGCUAAAAAUUAUGCAGAAGCAAUAAAAGGCAUCAAGACUAGUAAAAGACCUACGGCAGUUGCAGUAUAAGGUACAGUUUCAUCAACAAGGAUUACUUGGUGUUGUUAAUUGGUGAUCACUCCACUAUAACAAACUGAAAACCCUGUUGAGAGCAUCAACCUGCAAGGCUUGGAGCUUGUCAUUCGCCCCGAUUGAUCAACGUAGUUCAAAGUUUGUAAUUGUGAAUUGUGGCAUUUACAGGAAUCUUUUGGUAACUGACGCAAUACGGAAACUAUUGGAGUUGGCUUUAUGCUUAAUACAGCUUUUUGAUGCUUCCUGCAGUGUUAAUUAAUUUAUUGUAAAUUGCCGUGUGAAUAAGGAUGUGGGUAAAAAUUCCAUUCGAAAAUAAAGAAAUCCAAUUGCCUAUA